GGCGGCGUAGCUCAGUGGUCAGAGCAAACGGCUCAUAAUCGUUAGGUCGGUGGUUCGAGUCCACCCGCCGCCA
rnacentral:tRNA from 1 species